rnacentral:rRNA from 1 species
UGGGGAAUAUUGGACAAUGGGGGGAACCCUGAUCCAGCCAUGCCGCGUGUGUGAAGAAGGCCUUAUGGUUGUAAAGCACUUUAAGCGAGGAGGAGGGUACUGGUAUUAAUACUACCAGCUACUGGACGUUACUCGCAGAAUAAGCACCGGCUAACUCUGUGCCAGCAGCCGCGGUAAUACAGAGGGUGCGAGCGUUAAUCGGAUUUACUGGGCGUAAAGCGUGCGUAGGCGGCUAAUUGAGUCGGAUGUGAAAUCCCCGAGCUUAACUUGGGAAUUGCAUUCGAUACUGGUUAGCUAGAGUGUGGGAGAGGAUGGUAGAAUUCCAGGUGUAGCGGUGAAAUGCGUAGAGAUCUGGAGGAAUACCGAUGGCGAAGGCAACCAUCUGGCCUAACACUGACGCUGAGGUACGAAAGCAUGGGGAGCAAACAGG